GGUCAAGUAGAAAAGGGCGCACGGUGAUGCCUAGGCACUAAAAGCCGAUGAAGGACGUGACGAACUACGAAAAGCUUCGGGGAGCGGUAAGUACGCAGUGAUCCGGAGAUGUCCGAAUGGGGGAACCCAAUGCAGCGAUGCAUUAUUGGUUGAUGAAUAGAUAGUCAAUCAAGGGAUACGCAGUGAAUGAAACAUCUAAGUAGCUGCAGGAAGAGAAAGAAAAAUCGUUUCCUUAGUAGCGGCGAGCGAAGAGGAAAGAGCCCAAACCAAGUGAUUUAUCAUUUGGGGUGUAGGACUGCAACGUGGUAGCGUGAGUGAUAGCAGAAUAUCUGGGAAGGUAAGCCAGAGAGGGUGAGAGCCCCGAAAGCGAAAUUGCAAGCGCGCCUAGCAGAUCCUGUUUAAACCGGACACGAGAAAUCCCGGUGAAACCGCGUGGACCAUUUGGGCAAAG
rnacentral:rRNA from 1 species